rnacentral:rRNA from 1 species
GCGUAAGGGCUCGCAGGCGGUUUCUUAAGUCUGAUGUGAAAGCCCCCGGCUCAACCGGGGAGGGUCAUUGGAAACUGGGAAACUUGAGUGCAGAAGAGGAGAGUGGAAUUCCACGUGUAGCGGUGAAAUGCGUAGAGAUGUGGAGGAACACCAGUGGCGAAGGCGACUCUCUGGUCUGUAACUGACGCUGAGGAGCGAAAGCGUGGGGAGCGAACAGGAUUAGAUACCCUGGUAGUCCACGCCGUAAACGAUGAGUGCUAAGUGUUAGGGGGUUUCCGCCCCUUAGUGCUGCAGCUAACGCAUUAAGCACUCCGCCUGGGGAGUACGGUCGCAAGACUGAAACUCAAAGGAAUUGACGGGGGCCCGCACAAGCGGUGGAGCAUGUGGUUUAAUUCGAAGCAACGCGAAGAACCUUACCAGGUCUUGACAUCCUCUGACAACCCUAGAGAUAGGGCUUUCCCUUCGGGGACAGAGUGACAGGUGGUGCAUGGUUGUCGUCAGCUCGUGUCGUGAGAUGUUGGGUUAAGUCCCGCAACGAGCGCAACCCUUGAUCUUAGUUGCCAGCAUUCAGUUGGGCACUCUAAGGUGACUGCCGGUGACAAACCGGAGGAAGGUGGGGAUGACGUCAAAUCAUCAUGCCCCUUAUGACCUGGGCUACACACGUGC